CACGUAGGGCGCAAGCGUUGUCCGGAAUUAUUGGGCGUAAAGAGCUCGUAGGCGGUCUGUCGCGUCCGUUGUGAAAACUCGAGGCUCAACCUCGGGCUUGCAGUGGAUACGGGCAGACUAGAGUGCGGUAGGGGAGACUGGAAUUCCUGGUGUAGCGGUGGAAUGCGCAGAUAUCAGGAGGAACACCGGUGGCGAAGGCGGGUCUCUGGGCAACUACUGACGCUGAGGAGCGAAAGCGUGGGGAGCGAACAGG
rnacentral:rRNA from 1 species